AUUGAACGCUGGCGGAAUGCUUUACACAUGCAAGUCGAACGGCAGCACGGGGGCAGCCCUGGUGGCGAGUGGCGAACGGGUGAGUAAUACAUCGGAACGUGCCCGGUCGUGGGGGAUAACGUAGCGAAAGUUACGCUAAUACCGCAUACGAUCUGAGGAUGAAAGCGGGGGACCUUCGGGCCUCGCGCGAUCGGAGCGGCCGAUGUCAGAUUAGGUAGUUGGUGGGGUAAAGGCCUACCAAGCCGACGAUCUGUAGCUGGUCUGAGAGGACGACCAGCCACACUGGGACUGAGACACGGCCCAGACUCCUGCGGGAGGCAGCAGUGGGGAAUUUUGGACAAUGGGCGCAAGCCUGAUCCAGCCAUUCCGCGUGCAGGACGAAGGCCUUCGGGUUGUAAACUGCUUUUGUACGGAACGAAAAGGCUCUGGCUAAUACCUGGGGCUCAUGACGGUACCGGAAGAAUAAGCACCGGCUAACUACGUG
rnacentral:rRNA from 1 species